CACGACAUGGCCGACAUUAAAGUGCAGCAAAACUGGUGAUAGAGGCGAAUAAGCGAGGAUUCAAUAAGUCAUCCGAUCAGGGAAGGCUGCAUUUGCAGCCUGGAGAUUCGAGGGAAGGAUGCCGCCUCCAUCUUUUUCUCUUGAUGCCCAGCUGCGCUUCCACGACAAAUGGCUGAAGAUAGACCUGCAGCGCGCCUUCUCUCCUGAAGGACUGAGCGAAAUGUGGAACGAGAUGGUGAAGGAUGAAGAGAUCGUGUUUGACAGAGAAGAGUCCGCCCAUCCAAGUAAAAGCCACAUUACCCAUAAAUCCCACUUUGCAAUUACUCCAUACUUGCAAAGUUAGUUUCAUUUGAUAUGUGUGAAAUGGUUUUCAGAACUCAGGUGUGCAUCAGCAAACCAAAACUUAUUCUGCUUGAAAAGGUGGUCAGUGCUUCGAUUAAUGUGAAUUCGGUACAGUUAAAAGUGCACUCAGUAACUUUUGUGUCAUCUUGGACUUACACUAACACCUUGCGGCUUGCAUGCAGCAUAAUUUAAAAUCAAUAGUUUUCGGUUUCAGAUGUAGAAAUUUAGCAUUCACAGUCAGCCAUUAUUACUUUAAUCUGUGAGUGAAAGUGUUAAAUAACAGGACGGUUACUGAGAUUAAGCGAGUAGUAUUCAGCUAGUCAUGCGAUUCUAACAUGGCUGCCCCCAUUUGCGGACCCUUUCCAUGUAGAAUAAACAAGUUUUAUAAGCUUACUGAUAUGACUAGCGUAUUUCAUACAAUUAGUAUGAAAGCAAUCCGGACUAAUUCGCAGAAGUGAACAGCUGUUGAUUUAUGUAUAAUUUGCAUCUUUGUAUGUUCCUGGUUGCAAUUAUUGAAUUGCAUGAGUUGCAGUCAUCCUAUGCUAGUGUUGUCACGGUAUCAAAAUUUCAGUAGUCGGUACCGAUACCAGUGAAAUUUCACGGUACUCGAUACCAAUUUAGAUAACACAGCAAAAAUAUGUUAAUAUGCUAUUGAACGCAUAAGUUUAGUUAUUUUUAAUCAUUAUUUUAAUAAUUAUAGUUUAAUAAUAAGAAUGAUUAUUUUUCAGUACACAUUUUAAAUUUUAAUUUAAUCAUCAAAAUGGUGUCUAAUCAAUUAAUUCUUAAUACAUUUAUUAAGUGGACAUAUAACUUUUUAACAUGUCAUUGCAUUUUAUGUUAAACUUUUAUUCAACAGCUUGCUUGUGAUAAAAUGAUUCAUUAUUAUUAUUAUUAUUAUAGAGAAUAUGACAUUUUACUAUAAAGUUGUAAUAUAUUUUUGUUCAUUUUGUUAUUUAAUUUCUUCAAUUUCAAGCAUCUAGUUUAAUUUUGCUUUUAUCAUGACUUGUGUUUUUUGCCGGAAGCUUCACUUUUCUGGAUAAACAGCUCAAAAUGCGUUGACUGAGUUUGGAAUGGCAUACUACCAUACUAUUAAUAUUUCUGCCAUUGACAAAUAUGGCAGAAGUAGUAAGAGUAGUACGGGUAGUAUAACAUUCCGAACUCAGCCGUUAUUUGUUUUCCCACCCAUAUUCCGGCAACUUCGAUCAAGUUGUUGUCUAUAUAUCACCAGCUUGAUGAUGCCUUCUGAUUGGAUGGUUAUCUUUUCCACCUUCAAGAUAAGGCAUAGGUAAUUCUAUAACUUCUGACACUUUGCCAUUUGACAGUACAAAAACUAAAACUGUUUGUGUUUUUCUUUUUAUUAUUAGUACAUGGAUGAAUAAAUGUACUGGAAAGAAAAUAAUUAGUUGUAUGUGACAUCACUUUGU